AUGAAUAUAGCCCUCCUAUCCCGAUGGCUCUGGCGCAUCUCGCAAGGUCAUGGUGGUCUCUGGCUCGACAUCAUCCAGAACAAGUACCUGCAUGGACAGCCCCUAGCCUUCUGUCAGAGAUCUGGCGGCUCCUAGUUCUGGCAAUCGGUCAUCUAACUUCUCCCUAUCCUUCGCAUCAGGACAUCCAUCUCGGUGGGGUCCGGAGCAGCGACUCUGUUCUGGUUUGACCGGUGGGCUGGAGACACCCCCUUCGCUACGCGCUUCCCCGACCUCUUCUCCAUCGUUGUCGACCCCUUGAUCUCAGUUGAGAGGGCCCUUAUUGACUUUGGGUGCCUUGCUUUCCGGAGGCCUUUUGGCUCCCCGGAGUCCGCCGCGUGGCGUGAGUUACUGGAUUGCGUUGCCCUCCACGAGCCUGUGGUGGACGGUGGCCCGGAUCAGGUGAGAUGGCGGCUCGAGCCAUCGGGCCAAUUCUCCACCAAGUCUCUCUACCAGGCCAUCGCCCCCUCCUCCGCCCCUCCCUCCCUUACGGUGGUGUGGUCUAUCCGCCUGCCUCUUAAACUCCGGAUCUUCAUGUGGCAAUGGAUUCACGGCUAG
rnacentral:rRNA from 1 species